rnacentral:tRNA from 1 species
ACCAGUGUGGUGUAGUGGUUUGAGCCUUGGACUAUGGCUCUGGAGACCAGGUUCGAAUCCUGUCUUGGCA